GCCCGGAUAGCUCAGUCGGUAGAGCAUUAGGCUAUUAAUCUAACGGUCCAGGGCUCGAACCCUUGCUUGGGCG